rnacentral:lncRNA from 1 species
GACCACUCAUUACCUUAGCUCUCUCUCUUCCUCCUCCCUCUCUCAAAAUGCUCUGACCUCUCUUUAAAUCACUCCCUUCUCCUGUCCUUCUCCGUCGUCGCUCCUCCUUUAUGUUUUUCCCUUCUUCCUCCCUUUUCUCUUCUUUCUCUCUUUUUUCAUUCCUUUUUUCUCUUUUUCCUCUUUUCUUCUUCUUCUUGCUGCCCCUCCGGCAACUACAGUGGCGUCGUCGUUGCUCCUCCCCAUUCUUUUCUCUUCUUUUACUUUCUUUGAUUCUUCUUUUUUUUCUCUUUUCCCUCUCCUCAUCUCCUCUCUAUUCCCUCGCUUCUCACAGCGACGGCUACGGCGCCGUCCCCGCCUUCACUCUCUACUUCUUUCCUCACAGCGACAGCGGCGGAAAGCCGUCGCCUCCCUCACCGGCAACGAAAAAGAGGAAAAGGUAGAAAAUUAGAUCUACAGCCUCAUCCCUUCUAUGUUCCCGAUUUUAACCAGAUCCGGGUUUGCAUGUCGUCGGGGGACGCCUUCGUCUAGAGUCCCUCAAUGACAUGCAAGCCCCGAUCUAGAUCUAAGGUUUUAUUUUUGAUUUAAAUAGUUUUUUCUGACUUUUGUUGUCAUAUUUUAUUUCUUUGGGUGCUGGGAAUCGGUGGAGAGGGAAGGGGAGACGGUGACCCCACCGCCGACGACGCGGCCAUCGGCCGGAGAGGAGACAGACGGCGAGAGGAAGAGCAAGGGUAAAACUCGGUUCUGUCUUCUUAUUUAAUUUCUUUCAAUAAAAGAGAGGAAAGAGAUUGAUUUUCUAGUCUUAUUUCAGGUAAUGAAAUUAGCCGCUGACUUGCUCGGGAAAUUAAGGCUAGGAACAAGGACGAAAAAACGGAGCUCGACGAAGGUAAACUCAGAACUGAAAAUUAUUCCGAUUCUUAUAAGUACAAAGAAAGAAAGAAAGAAAGAAGGCUAUAUCACCCUUUUUAGGUUGUCAAUACGCUAUAAAGAGAUGACAACUUGACUUUUUUAAUCAAGGAUAAGUCUAGCAACUUUGAUAGAAGGACGAUAACUCACUCGUUUGAAAAAUUUGAUUAUUUUAACCUUUUUUAAUAAAAUUGCAGCAACCUUUUUUAACAAAGAACUUAUGUAUUGCUGGAUGUUGAUGCUAUGUUUAAGUCUGUGUAUGGUUUUUGAGUCCUUGAUGUAAAUGGUGUUAAGAUAGGUGAUAGUUGAUCAUUUUUAUGUCUUUAUAUCAUGCUUUUAGCAAUCUAUCUUAAGUGAAGAAAUUUCAAUUUCUUUGUGAAUUUUCGUUUGCUUAAGUGACUUAUUUUGNNNNNNNNNNNNNNNNNNNNNNNNNNNNNNNNNNNNNNNNNNNNNNNNNNNNNNNNNNNNNNNNNNNNNNNNNNNNNNNNNNNNNNNNNNNNNNNNNNNNNNNNNNNNNNNNNNGAUGUCUAUUUUACAGAUGAACUCAUUGUUAUGAUUACUUAGACUAGUCUUUAUGGCAUUUGGUCACGGGGUUAUUAGUUUUAAUAUCAUUCUUCAAGUAAUGAUAUAAAAGGUUUCUUGACUUAAUAUCUUAACCAUGUGAAAGGAAAAAUAAAUGAAUGGUAUGAGAAUGAAUGAAAUAAGAUGUUUUUGAACAACAUACCAUUAAUACGAGGCUUUUCUUGUUUUCAGGUGAUUAUGAUGUCUCCUCGUUUCUUAUAUUUCGGGACUUCCUAACUUCCUUAUUUGUGGUUUUAUAGGUAUUCUUUUAGGGUCUAGUGUGAUGGUGACACAAUUUCAAAAUUUUUGGGAGUUGGGGAUUGGAUUCUAAUGUAUAGGAAACCACUUAGGUACUCUAUUGUUGAUUUAUAGUACUUGUGAUCGUCCUCCGUUUAUGUGGGAAAACUUAUGUCAAUUUAUAAUGAAAAAUGGUUGCUACCUCUCUUGCUCACCAAUCUAAUUUGAAUUCCAAACACUUACAUAAAAGGGAGGUGGCUGCCUCGUAGAGAAUAAUAGAAACAUGCCUGAAAUCGGGCCUGAAAUUGGCCCUAAAAUAAAAAAAUUGGGCUGAAAUAUGCAUAACGUUGCAAUAGUUUGUUGAUUGGUUUAGCUCACUCAAAUUCGAGAUAGUAGACAUGGGCCUGGUUUGAUUUGACUAUUCUACAUUAAACGUUAGAAGCAAAAUCUCAAACAUAUCACCAAAUUACCCGCAUCUCCAUAACACGAAGCGUAGCUAGUCUGAACAAAUAAUUGUGGCUUUCGAUCAAUUUAGAUGAACACGAGCUAGGAAUUUCUAAAUAAGAUUGAGUCGAAUAUUAUGUCAUUGGAAGCGCUAGGUGUCGUUUGGUGGUAAGAGGUUGAUACGAACUCUACAACCCGAACAAAAUUUGGUUACUACACUAACACACUCCUUGAUCCAUCUACACCACCAGUUUGAGAAUCCGUAUGCACUAAAAAGUGAUAAGAGGCAAUCCCAUUCCAUGAGAUCAUAUGCCUUCCUCAUGUCGAGCUUCAUCAUCAUGUUGACCUUCCUUCCCAUCUUUCUGAUCUUAAAUUUAUGGGGUCUAAAACCAUUUCGUAGCCAGAUUUAUCUCGACUUUGUCAAAUCUAACCAAAAAAGCUGAAAUACCAUUUUGGCCAUUAUUUUUGGGCCGUCUGUCUUAUUUAACCCGUUGGCCAAAUUUAUUGUUAAUUUUUUUACUUCGUUACAGACGAGACAGACGAAACUGACGUGUCAUCCGUUUGAUCGGUUAAAUCGAUGCCAUAUCACAUACCACAUUGUGAAACUAAUGCCACAUCAGCAUUAUAAUUAU